AGAACACAUGGGGAAACUGAGGAUCAAGAAAAAUGAAAGGUCCAUCAAAGAUCAAACUAUAGUGGGUGACAAACCCAGGAUUUCACCCAGGUGCAUGCUCCCCAAGGUGCCCUAAACACAGCCAGAGUCUUGUUUUCUGGGUGCUUAAUAGAUGCCUGUUGAAUUGAGACUGAAUUUCCAAUUUAAAGUCAACUCUUUAAUCAUAGAAUCUCUUAAACCUACAAGAAACUUAAAAGAAUAAAUCAUUUAACCAUAACAGUUAGGAAGGCCAAGACAGAGAGGUCAACGGACUUCUCCAAGACCUCAGAGCAGGGAGGCCAGCCCCCAGGCCUCCCACCUCCCAUCACACCACCCCUCCCGGGUUCAGGGGUGCUCUUCUGCUCCCGCUGCAUGGCACGUCUCCCCUCUCUCUAGCCCGUGACACUGGCGAUCACUCUUCUCUCACCAAAUCUACCCUCCCUGGGCCUUCAAGACGCCGCUGGCCCCUGGUCUUCCUCCUGCUUCACUGUCAGCUCCCUCCAGUCACCUACCUGGGCAGCUCCUUCUCUACCCAUGAGUCUCAAAUGCCCCUUUGAAGUCUUCAAGAUGGGUUUGGUGAGCAUCCAGGCCCAAACCCCACCCCUCCUGGGUUGUCAUUCCAUCCCCGCCAGCAGCCCAUCCCUCUAGCGUGUUAAGUCCACAGAUCCCAUACUCUGAAACCCUCCCCAGAGCCAGCUGCUCACCUCCCACAGCCUCCUCUCUUCCAAAGUCACACCCUUCUACCGGAAGAGGGGAUGGAAACGCAGCAUGAGCCCUCAGUCCUUCUAUGUCCUAUUCAAACCGUCCAGGUCUGUGGAGACACCUUCCAGUCCUGCCUGAUCAGACACAGCUGACUUCACACCUCAAGGGGAGGGGUCACCAAUCCUCCACAACCCUACCUCCAGGGAGCCCUCCAGGAUACCGCCUACCUUCCAGAUAGUGCCUGUGGACAUCCUUCUGUUGGAGGAGAUCUGUUCAGCCAGGAACUGGACUGACAGAGACAGGGUGGUGGAAAGCAAGUGGAGAGGAAGGAGGAGGAAGAGAUGAAGACAGCCCUGGUCUCCUGACCGCCAGCAGAUGGGAAGCCGGGACUGCAUGUUUGUCUGACACAUGCUCUCAACCAUAUCCCGUUUGACAUCAGCUUCUCGCCCUCCCUCAAAUCUCUUUUUCUGGACCCACUCA
rnacentral:lncRNA from 1 species